UUCUGAUCCAACCAUAAAUUCAUACAUUGUGCCCCUCUCCUGAGAGGAAUGGAAGUUCAAUAUAUAGCGAGAUGUUGAAGGCUAAUGUUAACUAGCUAACAUUGACCAUGAAAGGAAGUUAGGCUAGCGAGCAAGCAUUUUAGCCAGGUUGCCUAGGACAACAAAAAAUAAAAGCAUGUGCUGUAUGACGGAGUCAACAUGAUUUGUUGUACUUGCACAAUGCACUCACGUGCAGAAAUCAGAACCAUAGACAGCCACAUCAUAUUUAGCAUACAUUGAUUGGACUAAAUCGUUUAGUCCAGUCAUAGGUGAUUUGAUGAGGUUGAAGUUGAAAUAGUGCUGCGAUAGUGGAGGCAGCUUGUAUUGGUCACAUACACAUAUUUAGCAGAUGUUAUUGCAGCGAAAUGCUUGUGUUCCUAGCUCCAACAGUGCAGUAGUGUAACAAUUCACAACAAUACACACAAAUCUAAAAGUAAAAGAACAGUUAAAACGGUUAUAAAAUGCACUGCCUAACCUGAAUUUUUAUUUAUUUUUUAUAUUCCUUGUUGCAGAGAAUGACGAGAUCAAGCGUGGAAUCCUACUGAUUCUCUCUGGCUGUGUUGGCAAGACGACCAUGGAGGGCACAUCUCUCAGGGGGACAUCAAUGUUUGCAUCUUUUGCGACCCCAGUACCGCCGAGAGACAGUUUCUUAAGUAAUCCACCAAGCACUAUCCUAUUUGUAACCAACAUAUAAGUUACUUGAAAUUGAAGGUCAAACCUGUGAUCAAAGCUUCAACAGAGGCAUUUGGAGUUGUUUACUACUGUUGCAUAGGCUGUCUUUCUGGUCUCGGGAGGUCUCAUUAUUCCUCAUAGCAAUGUAGCAUGUUGCAUGUUUGGAGUAGUAUCUAGUGAGAGACUAGCAUUGCAUGCUGUGGAUGUCAGCUGCCAACCCCAUCGAUGGGAGAUACAACCACUUUAAGUCUCUGAAACAGAACGUCAACAUGUCAGAACACAUCAUUUUCAGAUUUUACCUCUUCGUCAAUUUGAUUGAUGAGUGCAAUGAGGUGACAAAUUAUGUCAUAGCCAGACGUAAUGUAGACCUGCACUGUAGAAACAUGGAAUCUGCAGAGCGAGUCUACGCCACUGAUGAGGUCCAAAGAUACAUAUUGUUUACUCUACAGUUUCAACCAGAGGUGUGGUGCAUGUUGACCCCUGAUCACCUCGGAGGCCAAGGAGUUGACGCACAAGCAUCUGUGUCAGAGUGACAGCACCAAGCCAGCCUGGUGUAUCAUUGUCAGGCAGCUAGAUAGCAUGCUCCGACUGUCUGAAGGCAUGGCCAGGCUCUACUGCUCAGAUGUGGCUGGUCAGACACCUACUACUGAAUUAUACAUCCCCAUAUGUAUAUGGGCCCCUAUACAUUUAGGCCCUCUGACUGCUGAAUACGUCUGUCAUCAGUGUUGACUCCCCAGACAUCAACUUCGACCAGGAACAAGAUGACAAUGGGGAAAUGAAUGAAUGACUUGAUAGAUGAGGCUGUGAGGGGGAGAAACGGCACUAAUGGCCAUCAUGCAGAGGAGGCUAUGGACAUAGACCAUGGGGCAGGCAGACCUGAGAAGACCAGCACUGCCAAUCCUGCUCUCAAAAUGACCUUCGCUGAGUAUUGGAGGGUCUCCAACCUCAUCAUUCUGCACAUGCACAAGAUGGAUGAUAGUCAGAGUUCAAACAAACUGAAAGGAUCCUUCAUUUUCAAUUUAGUUUAAUUAAAAGGAUACUAGUUUUGUCAACGUUUAACAAAAUGUUUCAUUCUUACAGUUGAUGAAGAGUGUUCACUGAAGAAGUGAAAGCUGAUUUAACUUGUACCUGAAAGAGAUGAAGAGUGAGAUCGAGUCAGAAGCUGAGAUGGUUGCCAAGAAGUAUCUGAUUGAGAAAGUGCUUCAGAGACGAAUCCAUUAUGACCACAUCAUCAUAGAGUUAACGAAGACUGGGCUGAAGAAAGUUGGUGUUGAGGGAGAGGAACCUGUGGAGGAAGAGGACCCCUUCUUAGUGGUCAAUGUCAAUUACAUCCUGGAAGACUAGGCAUGGUCCACGUCCACCUCAGCCGUAGAUAUUGUGGAAAGGGUCAUUUAAUUCAGGCUUAUCUGAAAGGAAGGCUCUCCAGAGAGUAGUGAGGUCUGCACAACGCAUCACCGGGGGCAAACUACCUGCCCUCCAGGACACCUACACCACCCGUUGUUACAGGAAGGCCAUAAAGAUCAUCAAGGACAUCAACCACCCGA